CUCAUUAAAAGAGUGCGUAAUAGCUCACUGGUCGAGUGACCCUGCGCCGAAAAUUUAACGGGGCUAAAUCGUACACCGAAGCUUGGGAUGCAGAAAUGCAUGGUAGGAGAGCGUUGUAUGCGGGGUGAAGUCAUAGCGGAAGCGGUGGUGGACUGCAUACAAGUGAGAAUGCCGGAAUGAGUAGCGAGAUUUAUGUGAGAAUCAUAAAGGCCGAAAGACUAAGGAUUUAGAAGGAAGGUUCGUCCGCUUCUAGUUAGCCGGGAGCUAAGGCGAGGCCGAAAGGCGUAGUCGAUGCACAUACGGUAGAGAUUCCGUAGCCGCCACAAAUUUAAGCAAGGGGACACUCACGAAGGGCAUGAGCCGGGCGUUGGUUGCCCCGGUCGUAAGGGAGCGAAAUUGGUCGCGAAGCAUGUUUGGAGUGAGGCGAGAAAAGCCUUGUGUAUAUGAAGUGGCGCCCGUACCGCAAACCGACACAGGUAGUCAGGAAGAGAAUUCUAAGGCCAACGGGAGAAGGGUAGUUAAGGAACUCGGCAAAUUGACCCCGUAACUUCGGAAUAAGGGGUGCUCCAGAGAUGGAGCCGCAGUGAAUAGGCCCAGGCGACUGUUUAUCAAAAACACAGCUCUCUGCUAAAUCGAAAGAUGACGUAUAGGGGGUGACACCUGCCCGGUGCUGGAAGGUUAAGAGGAAGGGUGCAAGCUCUGAAUUGAAGCCCCAGUAAACGGCGGCCGUAACUAUAACGGUCCUAAGGUAGCGAAAUUCCUUGUCGGGUAAGUUCCGACCCGCACGAAUGGUGUAACGAUCUGGGCACUGUCUCAACUACCCGCCCGGCGAAAUUGUAGUACCGGUGAAGAUGCCGGUUACCCGCGACAAGACGGAAAGACCCCAUGGAGCUUUACUGUAGCCUGAUAUUGGGUUUCGGUAUUUUAUGUACAGGAUAGGCGGGAGACUGGGAAUCAAUGGCGCCAGCUGUUGAGGAGUCAUCCUUGGGAUACCGCUCUUAAAGUACUGGAAUUCUAACCUGUGGCCGUGAAUCCGGUCAGGGGACAUUGUCAGGUGGGCAGUUUGACUGGGGCGGUCGCCUCCAAAAAGGUAACGGAGGCGCUCAAAGGUUAGCUCAGCACGGACGGAAACCGUGCCUCUGAGUGCAAACGCAAAAGCUAGCCUAACUGCGAGGAUGACGGUCCGAGCAGUAACGAAAGUUGGAGUUAGUGAUCCGGCGGUAUGUGAAUGGAAAUGCCGUCGCUCAACGGAUAAAAGCUACCCUGGGGAUAACAGGCUGAUCUCCCCCAAGAGUCCACAUCGACGGGGAGGUUUGGCACCUCGAUGUCGGCUCAUCGCAUCCUGGGGCUGUAUUCGGUCCCAAGGGUUUGGCUGUUCGCCAAUUAAAGCGGUACGCGAGCUGGGUUCAGAACGUCGUGAGACAGUUCGGUCCCUAUCUGUCGUGGGCGUAGGAUAUUUGAAGAGCGCUGUCCCUAGUACGAGAGGACCGGGAUGGACGCACCGCUGGCGCAUCGGUUGUCAUGCCAAUGGCACGGCCGAGCAACUAUGUGCGGUUUGGAUAAACGCUGAAAGCAUCUAAGCGUGAAGCCAUCUCUAAGAUAAGAUAUCCCAUAGCAUAAGCUAGUAAGACCCCUCAAAGACUAUGAGGUUGAUAGGCUGCGUGUGUAAGUACGGCGACGUAUUUAGCUUGGCAGUACUAAUAGGUCGAGGGCUUGACCU
rnacentral:rRNA from 1 species